rnacentral:miRNA from 1 species
CAAAGAAGCUGCAAUUUGAAA